GCUGGGAGCAGCCCAGCAGAAGGGCCCUGGGGUGCUGGGCGGCAGCGGGCUCAGCGCGAGCCGGUGCCAGGAGGGCAGCCCGCACCCCGGGGGGCACAGCACGGCUGGGGGCAGGGGGCAUUGCCCCACCGCCUUCCGCCCCGCUGAAGCCUCGCCUGGGGCGCUGCGAGCGGUUCUGGGCCGCGCAACUGAAGAAGGACGUGAAAGUCCUUGAGCGUGCCCAGGGGAGGAGAGCAAAGCCGGCGCAGGGGCUGGAAGGCACGUCCUGUGGGGAGCGGCUGGGCACUUGGGGCUUGUCUGGCUGGGGGCGAAGGAGGCUGAGGGGCGACCUCACUGCUCCCACGGCUCCCCGAGGGGGGGCUGGAGAGGGGGGUGCGGAGCUCUCCUCCCUGGUACCCAGCGACAGGACGCGUGGGAACGGUUCGAAGCUGCACCAGGGCAGGUUCGGAGUGGACAUCGGGACGUUUGUGUGCCGCGAGGGUGGUCAAACACUGGAACGGGCUUCCUAGCGAGGAGGUCGAUGCCCCAAGCCUGUCAGCGUUUAAGAGGCAUUUGCACGAUGCCCUUAACAACCUGCUGUAACUUGGUCAGCUCUGAAUGGGUCAGGCAGUUGGACCAGGUGAUCGUUGUAGGUCCCUUCCAACUGAAACAGUCUAUGCUAUUCUACUCUAUUUUAUCCUAACUUUUCAGAAAUUAUUAGAUUAUUUUAGCCAGAAUUUACCAAACAUUGCGAUGUGAAGCAGGUUGUUGUCACUGCAACCCUCAGCCCAAAGAACUGAAGUAUGGAAUAGCUUCAAGAGAGUACAUUCUUGAACUGGAAAGCACUGGGCAGCCUUACAAAAAAAAAAAAAAAAAAAUUCCAGUGCAACUUGUGACACCCCAUAAUUCUCCAGGCUCAGAGCUUCUUACAGAUCCCAGCUACAGGCUAGUUUAUGAUCAACUGGUGUGAAGGGGUUGCAAGAUUAAAUUCCAUUGCAACCAUGCCCUGAAGUGUUUAACCCAUGAUGGCCAGAGCCAAACCAGUGUGGUUUCUGUGAGGGAAAUGCUGCCGCCCUGACCUUUUUAGUUCCUUGAAUCUCUUAAUAAAGGAGAACGUAAAGUAGGAUCGGUAGUCAUACCGUAUCUGGAUUUUUUUCCAAGUGACUAGUAAGUCUCCCUUAAGAGACCAUUAAGGAAGACGGCCAUGGGCAAAAUCUUGUUAGAUUCUUGCCUCCGUCCAGUGUACAAACGCGCAGAGGCCUCGUGCCACGCUGGCUGCAUGGCAUGCCACAUGCUGCCCAAAGCUUUCUAACAGCAUCUCUCUUCAUGCCUGUCCAUCAUGGUCCUUAGAGCUGGCUGGUCACGUACCGUUGACUUUUCUUUGCUGCUGCUAAUGAUAGGAGCUGGCAGGCCCGUCAGCAAGACAGCCUGUUUUCCAGAGAUCAGUUUUUGCAGGAUCCCUUUGUCUAUCCUCAGGAGAUCCCAGUGACAUUGACAGCAUUAAUAGCCCAAGAUGAGGAGUCUGAGAACUCCUCUGCAUCUGCACUUCAUCAGAUCAGAAAACCGAAAGAGGAGGCAGGGAGACAUCUCUUCUGUUUGGGAAAAUAAGCAAAAAAUAUUUAUUCUAAAGAUCCUAAGGAAGCUCUUGUGCCCAACACAGAAUCAGAGAGUCAAGUAGGUUGGAAGAGACUUAAGAUCGUCGAGCCCAACUGUAAGCCCAACGCUGCCAAGUCCACCCCUAAACCGUGUGCCCAGGCGCCACGUCUGUGUUGUGCCAGUACUGUACUUCAUGUGUCAGAGGUACAUUCACCCUGCAGGAAGGAGUCCAAGGCAACAUUUCUCUUUGCUACCUGUGUUCGGAGGGACCAGAGACAAGUAACUUUUCAAGAUGCUGACAAUCUCACGCU